rnacentral:piRNA from 1 species
UCAGGUUAAACUACAGAAAUGGUAUGGUCAU